UGCCAUCUUGUGAAGUCUUUCCUUCAACCCAUUUGCUGUUUCCUGAUAUACUCAGUGAAGAACUACUAUGAAGCAUCUGAUCACAUCAAAGUGUUUUUUCCAGCAAUAUUCAUGCAAAGGAUCCUGAGCACAGAUAAGUUGCCUGAUUUUCUGUGCUAAGAUUAACAGCGUGGAAUAGCAGCCACUCCACAGUAGAAGAUUCUUUUGCAUUUUUCCCACGUUUUCCCAUGUAUCUUUGAAAUGUCGACAGUCAUACUUUUGAACAUGAUGAGAGACAACAGAUGUUGUGAGAUGUUUGAGAUAAGCACUAUUAGAAGCAGUAACCUACCUGGGUGUGAAUGAACCGUACAUAAUUUCCACAGAGUAGUUUGUCCUUAAUUUUAGGGUAAAUCUUACAGUGUGGAUGUAAUAUGGAGGAUACUUUCUUCAGACUGAUGGACUUAAUACUACCUUUAUGCUAAUGUAUGGAUUAAGGUCUCGGUCAAGGGCCUUCAGAAUCUUCCAGCAUGCAAAGACUAGGUCAAGUGCAGGGCAGAGAGUUGGAAACCCUGGAGGGGGAUCCACUAUGGUAAGUCUGGCAAAAUAAAAGCAGAAAAAUAGCUUCUUUUGGAGAUCGUGUGCUUGUAAGGAGUGGUGGGAGUUUUAUGUUAUCUCCUACCUACAUUCCCAGGCAGAAGGCUGAGCAUGCAGUACUUUUUUGCAAUCUGUUCUUCUGCUUGAGAAUGGUCUUGACAGAGAUGCCAUAUGCACAGCAUUGUAUUAGAAGUCGGUUUAAUUAUCUCUCAUGGCAAUAUUAGGGCAGUAGAUGUGGCAGUUGCAAGAAAAACAGUAAAAUCGGUGCACAUGGAAUCUCAUUUCAGUGGAUGUUCCUAUUCCGCUGCUGCUUCUGCUGCUGGAAGGAAGGUGGCUGUGAGAUAACACAGACUGUGCAGCAGUCUGUCAGCUACCUUUCUUCAUUAACUUUGACGGCAAUAAAACACAGCUUUUUAAAACAAAGUUCAAGUAGCCAGAGCUCUCUGUGGAAAUUAAUUUCCUCUGGAAGCUAGUUUCACGUAACUCAUCACCUACUUCACUGAACAUUAUUCAGCCCUGUUGCUGGUGACAGAAGUGCUUGACAGAGCUGCUGAAACUAGGUCAUGCGGUGGAUAAAAUAUAGUCUGCUUUCCCAGGCUGUUUUUAGCGUGGACCUCCUGAGGAUCAUAGUAAAUAAUAUAUACCUGAAGGCCACUGGGGGCACUUUGUGCAGUGUUUGGUCCAUGAGAGGAAGAGACCAUUAAUGAUAUAAACCCAUGAAACAGGUUUGCAGGGAGAAACUUUUGGCUGCCUGUCUCUGUUUCUGAGCUGUUACUGUGAUAAUUUUUUUCCCUAAGUAUGGGUAAGUUCAUACUGUUGGAUGAUGCAGUUUCUACCCUCACAGGCCUGAUUCCCAGGUUCGGGAUGACUAUUGAGGACUUCAUUGGUGUGGUGGUAAUAGUCAUUGAUCGUCAGUGCUUCAGCAGUCAGACUGAGAAGAGGAGCCCUGAGGGCACUGCCCUUGUUUAAGAACCCAGCUAUGCUUGAUUACAGGGGUGUAGAUGUUUGGCUGUGGGAGCAUUAGUUGCUGCCAGAAGAGCCAUUUCAUGCCUGCCCCAGAGGAAAAGGCUAUGGGCCCUGUGGAAGUUAAUGUCUUUAAGAAGUCUUUAUUAAAAGUGCAAAGUAGUGCUGUUAAAGGCUUUUUAAAAGUCGUGUCCUUUACUUGAAAAGAAACCUGCAAAGAACUAAAACAAAAAAAAAUCUGUGAUCUAUUUUUGUGAUGUAUAAUGACCUAUUCCUUUCUCUUCCCUUUCCCUUUCCCUUUUCUAUGCCUCCCUCAAAAGGUUAGGAGUUUUCCCAGUUAUUUUUUAACAGCUUGUUUUCCACCCUGUAAAAUGCUGGAUUUCAGUGCUUCCCUCACUGGAAGAACCAAGGCACUGAAUCAUUAAUAAGGCUAUCCUUUGUGCCAAAUGUUUGUUUGUGAUUAAUGUUAAGCAGAUUUAAUGAAUAAAAAUAAAAAAUAAAAAAGGUUUAAAUAUAACAUCUCUCCUAAAAUACACAUCCUGCAAUUUUCUUCCCCCAAAAAUGUAUGUUUGGACAACUCUAUUCACACAUUUUUCUUUUUUCUGUCAAAGUGCACUCCAAAGAAUUUUUACCCUUCCUUUCUCAUCACUCUGCUUGGAUGCCUUCAUAGUGAUGGGAGGCAACAUCUGAGUGAUCCCAAAGGUGAAGUUGCAUGUUAUGGCUGAGUCUUACAAACAACUUACAUCUGCUGAGGGGGAGAGAUCCUCUUCCUCCUUGUCCUCCCUACCCCUGCUCUUGCUCUCAGUCUUGUGCUGACUCUGCAGCUCGUAAAACUUUUUACUCAACCGAUUUCGCCCCUAUACUGGCAGAAAAUAAAUUGCUUUUUCUGAGAUAAUUUGCUGCUGGAUUACUGGGUUGUAUCAAUUCUCAGUCGCUCCCAGCAAGCACCAGAGCUGGUGGAAGGUAAGCAAGAGAGCAUGUCUAAGAGUGAUAUGGGGAGUGUAGUACUUCCCCUUUUCAACAGUGGCAGCAAAAUGUUGGGUGGGUUCAGGUGACCUGUGCUGCUUCUCCACUGAGGCAGUCACUCAUCACUUAAGCCAUCAUAACUCACGAUAUGCAAACUCUCAGCCUGUCUCAGGAAUGCAAAGUGGAUGGACACAGAAAUACUGUCCUGAACAUUCAGGUAUAAAGAAAAGUUUAGUUGUAUGGAGAAAAUGCUUCUCACUUUGAAGAUCUCAUUUGAAAGGCUGAUAAAGAAAUGCCCUGAAAUUAAAGAUAUUCUCAGGUUCAGAGAACAAAGGGGGGAAGCACACAGACCCAAGAAAGAAAGCUCCUCUUGUGCGUGAGAGAGUAAAGGACACUUUGACUCACUUGAGAUCCCUCGAAAUGCUAAAAAAAGAAAGGGAAGAAAAAAGUACAAGAAAAGACACUCAUGGAACUGCUGAGAUGUGUGUGUGAGUUUCCAUUAAGACAGUCUUCAAGUAGCGGUCACACUCACUUUGGACUUCUCACCUCAGUCAAGGCGAAAGAUAAAUGCUGGCUCUGCAACCUCAUGAAUGAAGGGAAAAAAUGAAAUCACCUUGCUCCCUUCUGCAGAGCAGUCAUUAACCUCGCUAACAAGGAAGGAGGUGCUUUUUUUAAGCCCCAUGCCUGAGGGAUUAUACAUGCAAUUACUCUUUAUGUCAGCAUUGAUGUUUCUGAAUAAGCAUGUGCCCUCCUGAAAACAUAUCCCAGGCAAGCAGAGGUUCUGACUAUGCAGAUUUAGACCAACAGAAUGGAGGAGAACAUAGGUUACAAAAUAAAGG